rnacentral:lncRNA from 1 species
AAGGACAGAGAUGAUCAUGAUGUCCUGGAGCUGUUUCCAUGCUGCUCAUGAGCCCACUAGAGCUAAACCCAAAGGACAGAGAUGAUCAUGAUGUCCUGGAGCUGUUUCCAUGCUGCUCAUGAGCCCACUAGAGCUAAACCCAAAGGACAGAGAUGAUCAUGAUGUCCUGGAGCUGUUUCCAUGCUGCUCAUGAGCCCACUAGAGCUAAACCCAAAGGACAGAGAUGAUCAUGAUGUCCUGGAGAUGUUUCCAUGCUGCUCAUGAGCCCACUAGAGCUAAACCAAAGGGUGGGGCUACAGGAGGGGGUUGGGGGCUGAAGCCUUUCCACUCUGCUUCUGUUUCAGGAAACUUGGAAGGUGCCUGCCGGUGGUGACAGAAAGGAGUGUUUGAGUGGCAGAUUUGAGAUAACCCAGUGCCCACCCAUUUUCCUCUCUAUUCCAAGCUUUCCUUGUAAACAUCUUUGGAGCCUUCAGCUCUGCGCUACUUUUGAGCCUUUGCCAUUGCCGUGUGCGCCUUGGAGCCUCACAAACUCCUUCCUGACUGGACACCUGCUCUGCUUCAGCCACACCCUUCAGUCCUUAAGGGAAGGUUUGCUAAGCAGGAGAGCCCAGGGGAGCUCUGUCUCGUGAGGUAAGAACUGAUUUUCAUCUUACACAUAUCCAAUACCCAUGGGGCCUUUUGAGUAGGGAGGUGGGUCUUGCUGGAACAUAGGCCCAGCAAGAUGGCUCCUUCUCAGAGCUGUGGAAUCCACAAGGCCUUCUAGAAAUGGUUUGAUUAAUUCACAAUGGUGACACCACCACCCAAAGCCACCUAGAACAUGAUACUUGCCACAUCAUGCCCCACUUUGUGCUGCUCGUGUAAAUGAGCCCAUCAAAUCCAGUGCCAUGGGCUCCCCUGGCCACAGGAUGAGCAGUCUCUCCAGCCCCUUUCCUGGCAACACUCCGAGAGUGGCCCUGAGAGCACUAGCUAGCCCAGGCCCACAGUUCACAGUCUCUAGGUUGCUUCCUGUGCAGCACAGCCAGCAGAGGUAGCUGGGACAUCCCUGCUAUGCUUGAAAAAAGAUACCGGCAGCGUUGGAACAUGGCAGAAGAGGCCCAGGCCUUUGGCAGAGGAGGGCUGUUCUUCCCUUGUGUUUUGUGACUGGGAGGAACUAGCCUUCUCUCUGCUUAGGAGUGGGCCAACAGCUUCCUUCGUUCAGAGCCAGCAUGGUCUCCAGCAGUGUUCCUGGUUGAUACACAGACCUCAUCCUCAAAGAUCCCCUCCCCUGUCAAGGUAGCUGGUGGAGAAAGUGCCAGAGACCGCCCUAUCUGGAAGCCAGGAAGAACGGGGAGGGUCUUGUCACAGUGCCUGCUGCUCAGUUCACCAUUCUGAGUCUGGGAAGCUGGGAGGGAGGGAGGGGGCUCUGCUAGCUGAGCAGGUCAUCCCGAGACUGCUGUGUUAUGGCCAAGGUCUGGGUUAGUGAUCCUUUUGAAGCCUUGACCAGAAAGAGACUCCCUAGGGACUUGGGAUUGGAGAGACAGGCAGAACAGGGAGGGCCCCAGAAGUGAUCUCCACCCUAUGCAAACAGAAAAGCCUCAUGUGGAAGGAAGAUGACAAGAAGGGCCUUUCUGGAGGGCCCCCCCUCAAUCC